GACGAACGCUGGCGGCGUGCUUAACACAUGCAAGUCGAACGAAGAGCGAUGGAAGCUUGCUUCUAUCAAUCUUAGUGGCGAACGGGUGAGUAACGCGUAAUCAACCUGCCCUUCAGAGGGGGACAACAGUUGGAAACGACUGCUAAUACCGCAUACGACCCAAUCUCGGCAUCGAGGAUGGAUGAAAGGUGGCCUCUAUUUAUAAGCUAUCACUGAAGGAGGGGAUUGCGUCUGAUUAGCUAGUUGGAGGGGUAACGGCCCACCAAGGCGAUGAUCAGUAGCCGGUCUGAGAGGAUGAACGGCCACAUUGGGACUGAGACACGGCCCAGACUCCUACGGGAGGCAGCAGUGGGGAAUCUUCCGUAAUGGACGAAAGUCUGACGGAGCAACGCCGCGUGAAUGAUGACGGCCCUUCGGGUUGUAAAGCUCUGUUAAUCCGGGACGGAACGUCCUUCUUGCGAAUAGUUAGAAGGAUCGAUGGUACCGGAAUAGAAAGCCACGGCUAACUACGUGCCAGCAGCCGCGGUAAUACGUAGGUGGCAAGCGUUGUCCGGAAUUAUUGGGCGUAAAGCGCGCGCAGGCGGAUUGGUCAGUCUGUCUUUAAAGUUCGGGGCUUAACCCCGUGAUGGGAUGGAAAUUGCCAAUCUAGAGUAUCGGAGAGGAAAGUGGAAUUCCUAGUGUAGCGGUGAAAUGUGUAGAUAUUAGGAAGAACACCAGUGGCGAAGGCGACUUUCUGGACGAAAACUGACCAUGAGGCGCGAAA
rnacentral:rRNA from 1 species